rnacentral:rRNA from 2 species
UACGUAGGUGGCGAGCGUUGUCCGGAAUCACUGGGCGUAAAGCGCGCGCAGGCGGCGAUCUACGUCUGGGGUGAAAGCCCGGAGCUCAACUCCGGGACUGCCUUGGAUACGGGAUCGCUUGAGGAUUGGAGAGGCAAGGGGAAUUCCACGUGUAGCGGUGAAAUGCGUAGAGAUGUGGAGGAACACCUGUGGCGAAGGCGCCUUGCUGGCCAAUUACUGACGCUGAGGCGCGAAAGCGUGGGGAGCAAACAGG